rnacentral:lncRNA from 1 species
AAACUGAUGCCAAUCCUUCUGUGCAGAUGCAAGCGAGAGCAAGGUCCAGUCUGGGCUGAAUGCCAGCGAGGCACUAUGCUUAAGUAAUUGUGUCAGUCCUCUGAGCAUCCACUGAACGUUUCAAGGAGAGUUGUUUAUGAAGUGUGAUCCCAGCAGAUCCUGCGCAAGAGCAAGAAGGUGGCAGGGAGAUGCACGGAAUCAAUGCCAUCUGUGUGCUUCUGCAGUGAUGUUAAUCGAGCUCUUCUGCCAGAUCAUCAAAUCAGCGUGUCCCUAGGCCAACUAUAACUUAUGAAGUACCACAAUCAGAUGGGAGUAUCCUUAAGUUGAGGUGAGUAUUCUGAGUGGGUAUUUACUUAAGGAAGAGUAGAGUUUGCUUUAUGACUUUUCUUGAAUUUGCCUUCUUCAAAGCCAACGAAUUUAUCAGGAUGAAUAUUUGUAAACACAGCAGACAACAGAGAAUAUUUAUGGAAAGUGAAUUUGAAACUCAAGCUUGAAUAUUAAUGCUGGAAAGCAGAGUAUAUCAGUGUUUGUUUUCUAACCAAUGAAGCUAUAGGGAGCAUCGCACUGCAACUUAAACAUUCCUAUGUGCAGCAAUCCUGAAUCCCUCUGUGAAAUGGGAUAGCGAAUGGUAGCAUGUAACCGCUCAUAAACCAUGGACGUUAUUUUAUAGGGCAAGUAAUUAUAUACGGAUACUGUCAACUAAAUCAUGUACUUUGAUAACUUUGUAUGACCCAGGGAACUUGAGGAGAGAAAAAGAUUGCUCAUAUGCCACUGAACAGCAAUCAUAUUCAUUAUUUGUUAUUAUUAUUUCACUCAGGUAAUAACCAAUUUAGUAUUAUUUUACUCACAGCUUCCAUGGCUGUCUGUAUGUACUUCAAAUAUCUGCAGUAAUUAAAAUAAUUGUUUUGACCCAGUGCAAAUAGGUUUUGUGCUUAUUUGGUAGCUUCUUUACAACUGCACAAAGAACCAAGCUGCUGAGAUGUGAUAGAUGUGAUUAGAGCAGAAAAAGAACAAAAUCUCCUGUU